rnacentral:rRNA from 1 species
AUCGUCGGCAGGACUAACACAUGCAAGUCGAGCGGCAGCGGGUCCUUCGGGAUGCCGGCGAGCGGCGGACGGGUGAGUAAUGCCUAGGAAUCUGCCUGGUAGUGGGGGAUAACGUUCGGAAACGGACGCUAAUACCGCAUACGUCCUACGGGAGAAAGCGGGGGAUCUUCGGACCUCGCGCUACCAGAUGAGCCUAGGUCGGAUUAGCUAGUUGGUGGGGUAAAGGCUCACCAAGGCGACGAUCCGUAACUGGUCUGAGAGGAUGAUCAGUCACACUGGAACUGAGACACGGUCCAGACUCCUACGGGAGGCAGCAGUGGGGAAUAUUGGACAAUGGGCGAAAGCCUGAUCCAGCCAUGCCGCGUGUGUGAAGAAGGUCUUCGGAUUGUAAAGCACUUUAAGUUGGGAGGAAGGGCAUUAACCUAAUACGUUAGUGUUUUGACGUUACCGACAGAAUAAGCACCGGCUAACUUCGUGCCAGCAGCCGCGGUAAUACGAAGGGUGCAAGCGUUAAUCGGAAUUACUGGGCGUAAAGCGCGCGUAGGUGGUUCAGCAAGUUGGAUGUGAAAGCCCCGGGCUCAACCUGGGAACUGCAUCCAAAACUACUGAGCUAGAGUACGGUAGAGGGUGGUGGAAUUUCCUGUGUAGCGGUGAAAUGCGUAGAUAUAGGAAGGAACACCAGUGGCGAAGGCGACCACCUGGACUGAUACUGACACUGAGGUGCGAAAGCGUGGGGAGCAAAACAGGAUUAGAUACCCUUGGUAGUCACGCCGUAAACGAUGUCGACUAGCCGUUUGGGAUCCUUGAGAUCUUAGUGGCGCAGCUAACGCGAUAAGUCGACCGCCUGGGGAGUACGGCCGCAAGGUUAAAACUCAAAUGAAUUGACGGGGGCCCGCACAAGCGGUGGAGCAUGUGGUUUAAUUCGAAGCAACGCGAAGAACCUUACCUGGCCUUGACAUGCUGAGAACUUUCCAGAGAUGGAUUGGUGCCUUCGGGAACUCAGACACAGGUGCUGCAUGGCUGUCGUCAGCUCGUGUCGUGAGAUGUUGGGUUAAGUCCCGUAACGAGCGCAACCCUUGUCCUUAGUUACCAGCACGUUAUGGUGGGCACUCUAAGGAGACUGCCGGUGACAAACCGGAGGAAGGUGGGGAUGACGUCAAGUCAUCAUGGCCCUUACGGCCAGGGCUACACACGUGCUACAAUGGUCGGUACAAAGGGUUGCCAAGCCGCGAGGUGGAGCUAAUCCCAUAAAACCGAUCGUAGUCCGGAUCGCAGUCUGCAACUCGACUGCGUGAAGUCGGAAUCGCUAGUAAUCGUGAAUCAGAAUGUCACGGUGAAUACGUUCCCGGGCCUUGUACACACCGCCCGUCACACCAUGGGAGUGGGGUGCUCCAGAAGUAGCUAGUCUAACCGUUCGGGAGGUUUGGUUCCCGCAUUCAAAAGAGAAAAAUCUUUUCCGUUC